rnacentral:lncRNA from 1 species
CAGCAUUAACAGUCAUUGGACUCCCACCGAGUGUGUUAUUCUUUAAAUUAGAACCCAUGAAUAUAAUGAGAUGGAUUUUCACAGGAACAAGGGCAGGCUGAAACAAAGAGUCUUGUGGUGAUCACUUAGCUGCUGACAUGGUGGGAUGGAGGAUUCCAGAAUGCGUCAUGACUCACUGCCAUUGUGUUUACAGACUUACAGCAUACCAUGAAGACUCUACAUUAAAGCCACUUCUUAAAGCAAAUGCCAUGUCCUACAGUGCCAUCUGCAGAGAAGCAGUUUGCACUUGACAGAAAUCAAGGUCUUCUAAGCCCCAAGUUAAAGAACUCUAUUCAGCCGGGCGCGGUGGCUUAUGCCUGUAAUCCCAGCACUUUGGAAGGCCGAGGCGGGCGGAUCAUCUGAGGUUGGGAGUUCAAGACCAGCCUGACCAACAUGGAGAAACCCCGUCUCUACUAAAAAUACAAAAUUAGCCUGGGGUGGUGACACACGCCUGUAAUUCCAGCUACUAAGGAAGGCUGAGGCAGGAGAAUUGCCUGAAUCUGGGAGGCGGAGGUUGCAGUGAGCCGAGAUCGUGCCAUUGCUCUCCAGCCUGGGCAACAAAAGCGAAACUCCAUCUCUAAAAACAAAAACAAAAACAAAAACAAAACUCCAUUCAAAAGUAAAGUAGAAACACUAUCUUGAUGCACCAAAAGACCAACUGCUCACAACUUUGGUUCCAAGGUCUGGAGAAUUUGCUGAGUCUGUGAGGCCUGGAGUUUCACAGCCAGUAUCCAAACAGGGACUAUUUCUGAUUAAUGUGUUGCUAGGUAACUCAUAAUUAUACAAGCAAAGAAGCAAGUUCAAUGUAAUAUAACUCACAUUGAUUUUUUUGGCUAUGCUGUAAGAGCUUGAUGUUAAUGUAUAGGAAAAAAAUUCCCAAUAUCCCCCAAACAUUUUGUUCCAAUAAAUACUUCUUAAUAUUUUGAAAUCACCUGGUUGUUCUUAUAGAUCUGAAAGUAUUUGAAACACAUUUUUAUUAUGAAUCAUGAUUUAGGCUCCUGAUAGACAGUUUUGUGAGCAUACUGACUUCUCUAUAAAUAUUACCAGCUCAUUCAAACUAAGUGGAGCAAGUGAAUAGAUUUGUGGUCCUUUCCGUACAGACUUAGAAACUUCCCGGUUUUAUUUUGGUCUAAUUAUAGGUUUUGACUUUUUCAAGGUACAUAAUCAAAGUCUGACCCCUAAAAACGUCUAAUAAAGCUAUGCUUUAAAGGCCAAAGAAAUAAACACAUUAUUUUAAGUGUCAUGGAGUUAGUGCAAAUCCAUGUAUCUUUGCAGGCCAGGGGGUGUUUUCUACCAGAUGAGGGCCUAAGGCAAUGAGGCGGCACAGACAUAAUAAAAGUCUGACGCAGAGAGGAUUUGAAUACCAGCUAGAGUAGUGGAAACAUGUUGUCAAUAAAUGUCUCAGGUCAAGAAACACACAAAAUGAGAAGAAAUCGUAGCAACCACCUUGCAGUGACCAAAAAAAUCUAUAUAUAUUGUCGGGAUAAUUCUGAGAAUAAAGCAGUACUAUGAUGCUAAAAAGAUGGUCUUCCUAAAUUGCAAUAUGAAUGACUGCACGUUAGAAAAGCAUGUAUUUUGGACCAACGUUGUGAAACUAAGCUGUCUUGGGACACCAGGCAUGAAGGCAAUGGGGCACAUUGGUUACGAGUUCUGGGUUUGGCCAGGGUGUGAAUUCCAACUCUCAUUGACCUUGAGGAUGUUAUUUCAAUUUUUUGUGGUUUAGUUUUCUUAUCUGUAUCUCACAAGGUUAUCAGAAAGAUUAUAUAUAAUCAUG